rnacentral:misc_RNA from 1 species
UUUUUCCUUUUUUUUUUUUUGAAAUAUUGGAGGAGAGAAUUCGUCAUUAAAGAAAUUUGAACUACAGUGUUUGCUCCCAGGUAGUCUUACCUUUAACAUUCAAUUUUUAUUAUGAUAAGAGAAUUUAGUACUAUCUAAACUACUGUUUUCAAUAAUUCAAAUGCAACUAAGCUAUCAAUUUAUGUCAUAAAUUUGUUCAUAAAAAAUAGUGAUAUAAAAAUAAUAAUAAAAAUAUUGUGAUGGACAUGAGAUAAAGAAAUUGAAUUUGAGAAGAGAACAAGAAGAAUUUAGAAUUGCUUAAUUAUUCCCUCAAAACUUGGGGAUUAAAUCGAGUACAGAAAAUCCUAAUUACAAGCAAAUAAUAUUCCUAAUUAAGUGCAAAAAAGCCUUUCAAAUCCGGUAUGAUUUCCCCCUUAAGCUAGAGUGUACAUAUUGUAUGCUAUUAGCUUAUUACAAAAAGAACCAAUUCUAGACCCUCGGAGAGAUUUAGUAUGAAUUUCUGUCAACUGUUUAUUUAAAUUAACAAAACUAUUAGUAAUCAAUCGUGACUCAAUCUUUUGUCGGAUAAAGUGAUUAUCUCUAUGUGUUUCGUUCUUUCGUGAAACACAUGAUUAGAAGCAAUAUGCAAUGGUACCUGAUCGUCACAAAUUAGCUUCAUUUAUUAAUCUCCUCCACAUUUUAACUCUUUAAGAAGUUGCUUUAACCAUACAAGCUAGCAUGUGGCCAAAGCCAUAACUCAAUACUCUACUUUUGUAGUUGAUCUGGCCAUUACAUCCUGCUUUUUACUUUUUUAGGAUAUUAGAUUCCCUUCGAUUAGAAUGCUACCUUAAAGUGGAUUGUUUAUUGGAAGGAGAUCUUACCCAGUCUCAAUCAGAAUAUGUCCCUUGUCAUCAUAAUCCAUACCCUCCUAUGUCGAAGCCCCUUAAUAUACUUAAGAAUGCAAAUUACUGCAUUUCAAUGAUUGUCACAAGAAGCCCGAAGGAGAUGGCUAACCAUACUUACUGCAAAAAAAGUUGUUUGGUCUUGAGAUUAUGAGAUAAUUAAAUUUGCCAACAACUUUUCCAUAUCAACCAAGGUCUUUCAGUGGCUCUCUCUAUCCAUAAACAAGCUUUAACAUUUGAGUCCAUAAGAGUAUUGUAGAAAGAGAUGAUUCUU